UACGAAGGGGCUAGCGUUGCUCGGAAUCACUGGGCGUAAAGCGCACGUAGGCGGCUUUCUAAGUCAGGGUGAAUCCUGGAGCUCAACUCCAGAACUGCCUUUGAUACUGGAGAGCUUGAGUCCGGAAGAGGUGAGUGGAACUCCGAGUGUAGAGGUGAAAUUCGUAGAUAUUCGGAAGAACACCAGUGGCGAAGGCGGCUCACUGGUCCGGUACUGACGCUGAUGUGCGAAAGCGUGGGGAGCAACAGG
rnacentral:rRNA from 1 species